GACGAACGCUGGCGGCGUGCUUAACACAUGCAAGUCGAACGCUGAAGCUCAGCUUUUGUUGGGUGGAUGAGUGGCGAACGGGUGAGUAACACGUGAGUAACCCGCCCCCUUCUUUGGGAUAACGCCCGGAAACGGGUGCUAAUACUGGAUAUUCACUGGUCUUCGCAUGGGGGUUGGUGGAAAGGGUUUUUCUGGUGGGGGAUGGGCUCGCGGCCUAUCAGCUUGUUGGUGGGGUGAUGGCCUACCAAGGCUUUGACGGGUAGCCGGCCUGAGAGGGUGACCGGUCACUUUGGGACUGAGAUACGGCCCAGACUCCUACGGGAGGCAGCAGUGGGGAAUAUUGCACAAUGGGCGCAAGCCUGAUGCAGCGACGCCGCGUGAGGGAUGGAGGCCUUCGGGUUGUGAACCUCUUUCGCUCAUGGUCAAGCCGCAACAAUGGUUGUGGUGAGGGUAGUGGGUAAAGAAGCGCCGGCUAACUACGUG
rnacentral:rRNA from 1 species